rnacentral:lncRNA from 1 species
GGGGUUAAACAUGUAAGAGGGAUCCCAACCCUCCCCCUUAUGUGGCAUGAGUGCCAAUGAGAACUCCCCACAAAAGACCAGAUGACACAAACACUAACAACUAUAGGUCAUAUACAGCUUUCAACAAUGAGCAAAGUCAAUACCGCAUAUAGUCAGCAAUAAAAGGCACUGAAAUGACAUUGUAAAACAAUAUUCAAACGAG